rnacentral:rRNA from 1 species
GAUGAAGCAGAGCUUGCUCUGUGGAUUAGUGGCGAACGGGUGAGUAACACGUGAGUAACCUGCCCUUGACUCUGGAAUAAGCGUUGGAAACGACGUCUAAUACCGGAUACGAGCUUCCGCCGCAUGGUGAGGAGUUGGAAAGAAUUUCGGUCAAGGAUGGACUCGCGGCCUAUCAGGUAGUUGGUGAGGUAAUGGCUCACCAAGCCUACGACGGGUAGCCGGCCUGAGAGGGUGACCGGCCACACUGGAACUGAGACACGGUCCAGACUCCUACGGGAGGCAGCAGUGGGGAAUAUUGCACAAUGGGCGCAAGCCUGAUGCAGCAACGCCGCGUGAGGGACGACGGCCUUCGGGUUGUAAACCUCUUUUAGUAGGGAAGAAGCGAUGUGCUUGUCACAUCAUGACGGUACCUGCAGAAAAAGCACCGGCUAACUACGUGCCAGCAGCCGCGGUAAUACGUAGGGUGCAAGCGUUAUCCGGAAUUAUUGGGCGUAAAGAGCUCGUAGGCGGUUUGUCGCGUCUGCUGUGAAAACUGGAGGCUCAACCUCCAGCCUGCAGUGGGUACGGGCAGACUAGAGUGCGGUAGGGGAGAUUGGAAUUCCUGGUGUAGCGGUGGAAUGCGCAGAUAUCAGGAGGAACACCAAUGGCGAAGGCAGAUCUCUGGGCCGUAACUGACGCUGAGGAGCGAAAGCAUGGGGAGCGAACAGGAUUAGAUACCCUGGUAGUCCAUGCCGUAAACGUUGGGAACUAGAUGUAGGGACCAUUCCACGGUUUCUGUGUCGCAGCUAACGCAUUAAGUUCCCCGCCUGGGGAGUACGGCCGCAAGGCUAAAACUCAAAGGAAUUGACGGGGGCCCGCACAAGCGGCGGAGCAUGCGGAUUAAUUCGAUGCAACGCGAAGAACCUUACCAAGACUUGACAUAUACGAGAACGGGCUAGAAAUAGUUCACUCUUUGGACACUCGUAAACAGGUGGUGCAUGGUUGUCGUCAGCUCGUGUCGUGAAAUGUUGGGUUAAGUCCCGCAACGAAG